UACGGAGAGUGCAAGCAUUAAUCGGAAUUAUUGGGCGUAAAGGGCGCGUAGGCGGUAAAAGAAGUCAGAUGUGAAAUUCCGAAGCUCAACUUCGGAGCUGCAUUUGAAACUCUUAUACUAGAGGAUCGGCGGAGAAAACGGAAUUCCACGUGUAGCGGUGAAAUGCGUAGAUAUGUGGAAGAACACCUGUGGCGAAAGCGGUUUUCUAGCUGACACCUGACGCUGAGGCGCGAGAGCAAGGGGAGCAAACAGG
rnacentral:rRNA from 1 species